GGGACACGUGGUAUCCUGUCUGAAUAUGGGGGGACCAUCCUCCAAGGCUAAAUACUCCUGACUGACCGAUAGUGAACCAGUACCGUGAGGGAAAGGCGAAAAGAACCCCGGCGAGGGGAGUGAAAAAGAACCUGAAACCGUGUACGUACAAGCAGUGGGAGCCUCUUAAUGGGGUGACUGCGUACCUUUUGUAUAAUGGGUCAGCGACUUAUAUUCUGUAGCAAGGUUAACCGAAUAGGGGAGCCGAAGGGAAACCGAGUCUUAACUGGGCGUUAAGUUGCAGGGUAUAGACCCGAAACCCGGUGAUCUAGCCAUGGGCAGGUUGAAGGUUGGGUAACACUAACUGGAGGACCGAACCGACUAAUGUUGAAAAAUUAGCGGAUGACUUGUGGCUGGGGGUGAAAGGCCAAUCAAACCGGGAGAUAGCUGGUUCUCCCCGAAAGCUAUUUAGGUAGCGCCUCGUGAAUUCAUCUCCGGGGGUAGAGCACUGUUUCGGCAAGGGGGUCAUCCCGACUUACCAACCCGAUGCAAACUGCGAAUACCGGAGAAUGUUAUCACGGGAGACACACGGCGGGUGCUAACGUCCGUCGUGAAGAGGGAAACAACCCAGACCGCCAGCUAAGGUCCCAAAGUCAUGGUUAAGUGGGAAACGAUGUGGGAAGGCCCAGACAGCCAGGAUGUUGGCUUAGAAGCAGCCAUCAUUUAAAGAAAGCGUAAUAGCUCACUGGUCGAGUCGGCCUGCGCGGAAGAUGUAACGGGGCUAAACCAUGCACCGAAGCUGCGGCAGCGACGCUUAUGCGUUGUUGGGUAGGGGAGCGUUCUGUAAGCCUGUGAAGGUGUGCUGUGAGGCAUGCUGGAGGUAUCAGAAGUGCGAAUGCUGACAUAAGUAACGAUAAAGCGGGUGAAAAGCCCGCUCGCCGGAAGACCAAGGGUUCCUGUCCAACGUUAAUCGGGGCAGGGUGAGUCGACCCCUAAGGCGAGGCCGAAAGGCGUAGUCGAUGGGAAACAGGUUAAUAUUCCUGUACUUGGUGUUACUGCGAAGGGGGGACGGAGAAGGCUAUGUUGGCCGGGCGACGGUUGUCCCGGUUUAAGCGUGUAGGCUGGUUUUCCAGGCAAAUCCGGAAAACC
rnacentral:rRNA from 1 species